CCUGACUUCUACAAGAAAAACCAAACUUGAAGCUUAGCACAGUUCUCACUCACUAGUCAAUUCUGACAAUGCCAAAAGAACUGCUGCACAACCAAAUGAGAAGGGAAAUUAUAUGAGGAAAUAAGGCAUGUAAACAGAUUCAUUUUUCAAACUCCAAGAAAUGGAAAAAAAAACUUUAAGAGAAAGAAAUGACAUUACCUGUUAUAAGGAAAAAACAAAAUGGUUGGGAG